ensembl:lncRNA
GCAGGCUGCAGCGAGUGCUACAUGUGUGCAAGCUUCCUCGUCAGAGUUUCCCAAGUCCGUUUUAAAAAAUGAGGUUUGCUUUACGUAUUUUCCAAGUGUUCAGGCAUUGCUGCCCUGCAUGGAGAACAUGGGUGUGUUUCUCUGGACACUGUGAAUAUGAAAGUCAAAGGAAAGACAGCAGCAGCUACAGUCUGGAUUACGAACUGCACCGGGAAGACGGCCCCUGCAGGGGGUACGAACACCAGGGGGUCCCUCCCCUCCUCCACCGCGUGCCUGUCAGGAUCCGGAAGGCCCACCUGGGCACGGGGGUCAAGGGCCGCUUCAGUCCCCACAGGGCCCCCAGAAAGAGCCAGCUGCCCCCCGAGAUAAAGCACUGAGGAGCUGCACUGCCUCAGGGGUGAGCUGAGCCACAUCAAGGCCCAGGUGGACCGCCUGCUGGAGCACGUGGAACUCAUGGAGCAGCAGACGGACCAGCUUCCAGGGACAGAGGACUGUGAACAGAACAGGGGCUCUGGGAGUCAGGGGUCCUUAUGCAGAACCACUGAACCCAGGCAGGAGCCCAGAGGCCCGAGGGCCCGUCCGGAGGCGGAAGGCUCCCAGGAGCACACAGACCCGGAGGCUGUGGUCAAGAAUCAGGCGUCAGACCAGGGCUGUCAGUAGCAGGCUGGAACCCCUCCAGGCCCAUCAGCUCCAGGCACCGUCCUUGCCUUGAGUGUUUUCUCAAGGGUCUCUCAGCAGCACCCACGCCACCCAUUCUGGAGCCAGGGACAUGGAGGCGUGGCUCAGCCAGACCAGCCAGGCACCCGGCCCUAGUGCUGGUUUUAGCUUUGU